rnacentral:rRNA from 1 species
UACGUAGGGAGCAAGCGUUGUUCGGAUUUACUGGGCGUAAAGGGCGCGUAGGCGGCGUGGUAAGUCACUUGUGAAAUCUCCGAGCUUAACUCGGAACGGUCAAGUGAUACUGCUGUGCUAGAGUGCGGAAGGGGCAACUGGAAUUCUCGGUGUAGCGGUGAAAUGCGCAGAUAUCAGGAGGAACACCAAUGGCGAAGGCAGCACUCUGGGACGUGACUGACGCUGAGACGCGAAAGCGUGGGGAGCAAACAGG